ensembl:lncRNA
UUGGCUUGGCGCCCCCGACCACCCGGGCACCCGGGCGUCUCCCACUGCAGCAUGCAGCCCGCCCGGCCCGCCCCGGCCCCGGCCCUGGAGGGCAGGUACCUUGGUGCUCCGGCCCCCAGGAGCCUCCCGGCGGAGAUCCUAGCGUCCCUCCAGCUCCCUGCGCCGACGUCAGCGUCAGCACUGGCGAGGGAAGGGGCGGGGAGCGCAGGAAGCGGUCCUUCCUGCAGCGGCCGCCGCCAGCCGGAAUAGCAGCGCGGAGCCGGUGCGCGCCGCAGCGCAGCGGGGCGGCCCGAGCCGGCGCCCUCCCCUCCGCCAGAACCCGCCGCCUCCCUUCCUGCGGGGACAGCGGCCACUCUCUGCAGGACCCAGGGAUCCCGGUGGGGGAGGGCGGUGGUCUCACCUGGUUUGGGGCGGAUCAAGGAUGAGAGGACCGAGUGUCCCUCUCUCUACUCCCUGGGGUUUUCCCGUGACCCCCAUGUCUAGGGUAUCUGGCGUUUGGACCGGCUGCCAGAGAUGACCCCGCCCCUGCUCCCUGGCAGGUGUUCCACGUGUCCAUAGCGUUCGCGUCACAAUGACCUGUCUACAGGUGGCUGACGCCUAGAACACCUCAGAGUUCCUUCCUCGGUUUGUGUAAAGGGUGCGUGCUACUUUAUAGAGUUUGGUGACUUGAAUGGACAGGAGAUUUCAUGAGGUGCACACAGACAGAGGGAAGCCAUGCUCCAGUGAAGAUAAGAAAAAAUGAAAAGACAAACAAUAUGCAGUAAUGUAAGAUGCAGGUCCCCUGCAGGCAAGACUAAGGCACCUCUGCCUGGAUUAGGGAAGAGAAGAAAGAAAAUAGAUACACCGAGGAUGAGCAAGGGUGCUAAAGAGAAAGGAAUGCGUCAUGAUAUCGAGGCAUGUUUGAUGGACAUAAAUCCCAGGUCUCGAAGGACAGGGAACCCAUGCUCCAGUUCUUCCCAGAUCUCACUUCUCUCACCAGCCCUGGAAGCAGCAUUUCAAACAACCCUAAAAAUGAAAAUAAUACCUGUCCUUCCUGAAGUGCUGAAUAUGCUCAGGCCUGGCAUAUUCAUUGUGAGUAACAUAAGCACCUUGAUGAAUAUUCAAGAGCUGAGAGAUUUCUCUGAAGAAAAACAAGGAGUGGUGACCCUUAUGAACAGAAAACAGAGGAUUACUAGAGAGUUGAUGUUGCACACACCAUCCAGGCAUAUUUAA